rnacentral:rRNA from 1 species
AUUGAACGCUGGCGGAAUGCUUUACACAUGCAAGUCGAACGGCAGCACGGGGGCAGCCCUGGUGGCGAGUGGCGAACGGGUGAGUAAUACAUCGGAACGUGCCCGGUCGUGGGGGAUAUCGUAGCGAAAGUUACGCUAAUACCGCAUACGAUCUGAGGAUGAAAGCGGGGGACCUUCGGGCCUCGCGCGAUCGGAGCGGCCGAUGUCAGAUUAGGUAGUUGGUGGGGUAAAGGCCUACCAAGCCGACGAUCUGUAGCUGGUCUGAGAGGACGACCAGCCACACUGGGACUGAGACACGGCCCAGACUCCUACGGGAGGCAGCAGUGGGGAAUUUUGGACAAUGGGCGCAAGCCUGAUCCAGCCAUUCCGCGUGCAGGACGAAGGCCUUCGGGUUGUAAACUGCUUUUGUACGGAACGAAAAGGCUCUGGCUAAUACCUGGGGCUCAUGACGGUACCGUAAGAAUAAGCACCGGCUAACUACGUG